ACCAACUGUAUGCGCAGCCCCCAUCCCAUCUUAAAAUCUCUCAUAAUUUUCCUUUAUUUCCUUAGUUUUCAUUACCCUAAUUUAGUUCGGAUUCAUUUAUUUUUGGGGGUUGAGGAUGAAUUCGAUGAGAUCUUGUGCCCUUCCAAUCAUCGGCUUUGUGUUCAUGGCUCUGCUGAGCCUGAGUUAUGGGCAGGCCCCAGCUCUUUCUCCAACAAGCGUUGGCAUGGCGAUUGAUCAAGGAAUUGCUUACACUCUUCUGCUGGUGGCCCUUGCAAUAACUUAUUUGCUGCACUGAUUUUCAGGCAGCCCAAUCACAAUGAGCUUAUUAUUAUUGUGUACAUGAUCGAUUCGAUCUGGUGAUUAUAAAAUUCAAAUUCUUUGUAUAUUUUUCUCCUUAUAUUCACCUGGAGAAUUUACAGCUAGCCCCUUUGUAGUUUGUACCUGAAUCUGAAUGAAUAUCAUUUCUUUGAUCCUUUUUUCCACCAA